rnacentral:RNase_P_RNA from 1 species
CUGCUUUUGCGGCUGAGGAAAGUCCGGGCUUCGCAGGGCAGGAUGCCGGAUAACGUCCGGUGGAGGCGACUCCAAGGCAAGUGCAACAGAAAUAAACCGCCGGCACUUCGUUGUGCGGAACUACUGCAUCAGCUUUGGCUGACAGGAGUUCCUUUCAGGGUUCGCCCUGAUACGGUAAGGGUGGAAAGGCGGUGUAAGAGACUACCGUGUGACUGGUAACAGCCAUAGCCAUGUAAACCCCAUCCGAAGCAAGACCAUAUGAAAACAACAGGCUUGCCCGGCCUGUUUUCAGGUAGGUCGCUGGAGGCUUUCGGCGACGAAAGUCCAAGAUAGAUGAUUAUUCGUGACAUAACCCGGCUUAUCGUCCUGCUUAUUUU